CCUACGGGAGGCAGCAGUGGGGAAUAUUGCGCAAUGGGCGAAAGCCUGACGCAGCAACGCCGCGUGGGGGAUGAAGGUUCUCGGAUUGUAAACCCCUUUCGAUCGGAACGAAUCCCCCCCUGGUAAAUAAUCAGGAGGAUCGACGGUACCUACAGAAGAAGCACCGGCUAACUACGUGCCAGCAGCCGCGGUAAU
rnacentral:rRNA from 1 species